rnacentral:misc_RNA from 1 species
GGUACUUAAGGAGGUACCAUGAGGUACCACUUUUCUUAUUGUAAAUUUGGUACCUCUUAUUGUAAAUUUGGUACCUCUUAGUAUCUAGGUACUAUGAGGUACCAUGAGGUACUCAAAAUUAGUGUAAAAUUUGGUACCUCAUGGUAUCUCCUCAAUGUC